CUUCAUCUCUUCCUUAUGUUCAGUCACAACCACGAGAGAAAGGAGCAGGUCACAAAGGACCUAGCCGCUCCGGCUCCGUCGCCGGCGGCAACGCUUCCUCAAGGUGAAGCUCCUCGCGCCACCUCACUCUCAACCUCCUUGGUUACUCCCAAUUCUCAAAUAAAGCAUUAAAACGAAACCAACAGACAAAGAACCUCACGUUCUGAAUCGACCACGACGCGCACAUCGAUCAUCAAAUUGGAAGAGGUAUUCACAUCGAACAAUCUCACAAGCAUCCUAAGUCAUGAAUUAAGUAUGAAAUACACACCUCUGAAAAGUUUCGGCGCGACAGUUGUUCGUAUCCGGUGAAGAGCUUAAGGGGAGGUUGUGGUGCCGGUGAUGAACGAUUCAAUCUAGAGGAAGAAAACCGAAAUUUCAAUGCUAAUCCUGCUCUUAUAUAGAGCUUGUUUGUGUAUUGGACGUGAGUUGUUGUGUUGCCAUUCGUAUCUUAUGCAGGUGAUUUGCAGAAUUCGGUUCGUAUGUGCAGGUGAUUCACAGAAUUGAAACAAGGUGAUGAAGAUGAAGAUUGAAGAGGAAAGAAAGGGAAGAAUAUGCAGGUGAGAGGGGGAAGAAGAAUUCUGGAAAAAAUUGGAGAGGAAGAGAAAAUUUCAUUGCUUAUUCUUGUAUUUAUUAGAAUUCUGAACGUUCAACUUGGAUGAGUUUGAAGUCACGUUUUGGAUGAGUUUGUAAUUUGGAUUUGGAUUUGUUCAUGUCGUUUCCGUUCUCACUUGCAUUCUGUUUGCGUUUUGGCUCUGCAAUGCUGCAUUUCGAUGUUGAGUUCUGCGUUUUGGAAAUUCACGUUUCGUUUCUGUUUGUGUAA